UACGAAGGGGGCUAGCGUUGCUCGGAAUUACUGGGCGUAAAGCGCACGUAGGCGCUUUCUAAGUCGGGGGUGAAAUCCUGGAGCUCAACUCCAGAACUGCCUUCGAUACUGGAAAGCUCGAGUCCGGGAGAGGUGAGUGGAACUGCGAGUGUAGAGGUGAAAUUCGUAGAUAUUCGCAAGAACACCAGUGGCGAAGGCGGCUCACUGGCCCGGUACUGACACUGAGGUACGAAAGCGUAGGGUAGCGGACGGG
rnacentral:rRNA from 1 species